GACGAACGCUGGCGUCGUGCUUAACACAUGCAAGUCGAACGGAAAGGCCCUGCUUUUGUGGGGUGCUCGAGUGGCGAACGGGUGAGUAACACGUGAGUAACCUGCCCUUGACUUUGGGAUAACUUCAGGAAACUGGGGCUAAUACCGGAUAGGAGCUCCUGCUGCAUGGUGGGGGUUGGAAAGUUUCGGCGGUUGGGGAUAGACUCGCGGCUUAUCAGCUUGUUGGUGGGGUAGUGGCUUACCAAGGCUUUGACGGGUAGCCGGCCUGAGAGGGUGACCGGCCACAUUGGGACUGAGAUACGGCCCAGACUCCUACGGGAGGCAGCAGUGGGGAAUAUUGCACAAUGGGCGGAAGCCUGAUGCAGCAACGCCGCGUGCGGGAUGACGGCCUUCGGGUUGUAAACCGCUUUCGCCUGUGACGAAGCGUGAGUGACGGUAAUGGGUAAAGAAGCACCGGCUAACUACGUG
rnacentral:rRNA from 1 species